rnacentral:rRNA from 1 species
AUUGAACGCUGGCGGCAGGCCUAACACAUGCAAGUCGAACGAGUGGCGGACGGGUGAGUCAUGUCUGGGAAACUACCUUAUGGAGGGGGAUCACUACGGGAAACUGUAGCUAACACCGCGUACCAUCGGAUGAGCCCAAGUGGGAUUAGGUAGUAGGUGAGGUAAAGGCUCACCUAGCGGACGAGCCCUAGCUGGUCUGAGAGGAUGACCAGCCAAACUGGGACUGAGACACGGCCCAGACUCCGACGGGAGGCAGCAGUGGGGAAUAUUGCACAAUGGGGGCAACCCUGAUGCAGCCAUGCCGCGUGAAUGAAGAAGGCCUUCGGGUUGUAAAGUGCUUUCGGUAGCGAGGCGUUAACUACAGAAGAAGCACCGGCUAACUCCGUGCCAGCAGCCGCGGUAAUAC